rnacentral:rRNA from 1 species
UCAAGUGACUAAGUGCAUGUGGCGGAUGCCUUGGCGAUCACAGGCGAAGAAAGACGCGGCAGCCUGCGAAAAGCUGCGGGGAGCUGGCAAACGAGCUUUGAUCCGCAGAUAUCUGAAUGGGGGAACCCACACCGCAAGGUGUAUCCGUAACUGAAUACAUAGGUUACGGAGGCGAACGAGGAGAACUGAAACAUCUAAGUAUCCUCAGGAAAAGAAAUCAACCGAGAUUCCGGCAGUAGCGGCGAGCGAACCCGGAGGAGCCCAGCUUUUGAUAGUACGAACUUUAGCCGAAAGGUCCUGGAAAGGCCUGCUAUAGUGGGUGAUAGCCCCGUAGGCGAAAGAGUUGGUACGGUACUAAGGAAGCGAGAAGUAGAGCGGGACACGUGGAAUCCUGUUCGAAGACGGGGGGACCAUCCUCCAAGGCUAAAUACUCGUGAUCGACCGAUAGUGAACCAGUACCGUGAGGGAAAGGCGAAAAGAACCCCGGGAGGGGAGUGAAAUAGAACCUGAAACCGCAUGCAUACAAACAGUAGGAGCCUCGUCAGAGGUGACUGCGUACCUUUUGCAUAAUGGGUCAGCGACUUACAUUCUGUGGCGAGCUUAACCGAAUAGGGGAGGCGCAGCGAAAGCGAGUUCGAAAUGAGCGUUCAGUCGCAGGGUGUAGACCCGAAACCAGAUGAGCUAUCCAUGGCCAGGUUGAAGGUGUGGUAACACACACUGGAGGACCGAACCGACUAGUGUUGCAAAAUUAGCGGAUGAGCUGUGGAUAGGGGUGAAAGGCCAAACAAAUCUGGAGAUAGCUGGUUCUCCCCGAAAACUAUUGAGGUAGUGCCUCGUGUGUCGCUCCAGGGGGUAGAGCACUGUUUUGGCUAGGGGGACAUGGAGUCUUACCAAACCAAGGCAAACUCCGAAUACCUGGAAGCGUAAGCACGGGAGACAGAGCACCGGGUGCUAACGUCCGGACUCAAAAGGGAAACAACCCAGACCGCCGGCUAAGGUCCCAAAUAACAGCUAAGUGGAAAACGAAGUGGAAAGGCCGUGACAACCAGGAAGUUGGCUUAGAAGCAGCCAUCCUUCAAAGAAAGCGUAAUAGCUCACUGGUCGAGUCCUUCUGCGCGGAAGAUGUAACGGGGCUAAGCUGUUAACCGAAGCCGCGGAUGCGCUGGUUAUCCAGUGCGUGGUAGGGGAGCGUUCUGUAAGUCUGCGAAGGCGGUUCGAGAGGACUGCUGGAGAUAUCAGAAGUGCGAAUGCUGACAUGAGUAACGUUAAAGCAGGUGAAAAGCCUGCUCGCCGUAAGCCCAAGGAUUCCUGCUCUACGUUCAUCGGAGCAGGGUGAGUCGGCUCCUAAGGUCAGGCCGAAAGGCGUAGCCGAUGGGAAUCAGGUUAAUAUUCCUGAACCUGCGUCAGAUGCGAUGGGGGGACGGAGCAUGGAAGAUCAUCCGGGUGUUGGAAGUCCCGGUUGUUUAGCGUAGGAGGUCUGCAGGCAAAUCCGCAGACGCAUCUCCAAGGCAAAGACACGUGCCGCCACGGCGGCGAAGUGAUCGGAAGUGCUUCCAAGAAAAGCCUCUAAGCUUCAGUCUGAUGCGGACCGUACCGCAAACCGACACUGGUGGGCGAGCUGAAUAUGCUCAGGCGCUUGAGAGAACUCGGGAGAAGGAACUCGGCAAAUUGACACCGUAACUUCGGAAGAAGGUGUGCCGUAGUACCGUGAGAGGAGAGACACCUUGAGCGGGAAACGGUCUCAGAGAAUAGGUGGCUGCGACUGUUUAUUAAAAACACAGCACUCUGCAAAGUCGAAAGACGACGUAUAGGGUGUGAUGCCUGCCCGGUGCUGGAAGAUUAAUUGAUGGGGUGAGAGCCCUUGAUCGAAGUCCCAGUAAACGGCGGCCGUAACUAUAACGGUCCUAAGGUAGCGAAAUUCCUUGUC